UACGUAGGGUGCGAGCGUUGCCCGGAUUUAUUGGGCGUAAAGAGCGUGUAGGCGGCCAUACAGGUCAGCUGUGAAAACUCGAGGCUCAACCUCGAGACGUCGGUUGAAACCGUAUGGCUAGAGUCCGGAAGAGGAGAGUGGAAUUCCCGGUGUAGCGGUGAAAUGCGCAGAUAUCGGGAAGAACACCUAUGGCGAAGGCAGCUCUCUGGGACGGUACUGACGCUGAGACGCGAAAGCGUGGGGAGCGAACAGG
rnacentral:rRNA from 1 species